CCAUCCUCUAGGUCAGCCAGCUUUCUGAAUAAAGUCAUACUCCCUGCCUCAACACCUCAUCUCUCGGUUAAUUGGCCUGUUGUGGCAAGCAGACCGAGCUUGGACAUGGCAAUAUCCUGACCUUCCUGAUCAAGCACCUUGGGCAUCAGCUGUGCAAGACGGGGCCCAGAGGACACCCAUGAUACCUGCUCAUCCGGAGGGAAGCAGACAGCCUUCCAGGUCUGCACUGUGACGACAGGGAGUUCCGUCAGUGCUCUACAAUGAACUAGCCCACGUGGAUGCGAGAACUGGUUUUGUGUGCUCACUUAGUCCUCCUGAGAUCCUGAAAAGACAAAUGUAUGGGUA